AACGAACGCUGGCGGCAUGCCUAACACAUGCAAGUCGAACGAGACCUUCGGGUCUAGUGGCGCACGGGUGCGUAACGCGUGGGAAUCUGCCCUUGGGUUCGGGAUAACAGUUGGAAACGACUGCUAAUACCGGAUGAUGUCUUCGGACCAAAGAUUUAUCGCCCAGGGAUGAGCCCGCGUCGGAUUAGCUAGUUGGUGAGGUAAAGGCUCACCAAGGCGACGAUCCGUAGCUGGUCUGAGAGGAUGAUCAGCCACGCUGGGACUGAGACACGGCCCAGACUCCUACGGGAGGCAGCAGUGGGGAAUAUUGGACAAUGGGCGAAAGCCUGAUCCAGCAACGCCGCGUGAGUGAUGAAGGCCUUAGGGUUGUAAAGCUCUUUUACCCGGGAUGAUAAUGACAGUACCGGGAGAAUAAGCCCCGGCUAACUCCGUGCCAGCCGCCGCAGUAAUAC
rnacentral:rRNA from 1 species